rnacentral:lncRNA from 1 species
CAAGAAGCAGGCAAUUUCAUUCUGUCUUUCAUCAAGGGAAAGGAUUCAUGAAGGCAACUCAAAUACAUGUAGUUGUAGCCAUUCUAUUAGUAACAGUCACCUUUGCAACUGUUUCCCUUGCCAAGAGGUAUCGAUCUCGAUUGCUCUAAUAAAGGGAUGAUGAUUCUAUUAAGUGAAAACAGCACUUUGUGCAAAUGCAUAAGUGCGUUUCUCGAUAGUAUUGCCAUAUAUCCCCUUAUUAAUUAGGAUAGUUGUCAAAACCUCCUGGCAAUGUGAAACCAGCUGGAAAGGUGACUAUUGUAUCUAGUAGAGUGGCCACAACUAGAUGCGUUUGAUCUGCUGAAAAAAGUAUCUUUGGUUUCUGCUAGCGUCCCGUUUCAUCCUCUAGAUUCUUCCAUUUUGUCCUAAAAUCAAGUUGUCCCAAUUGAUCAAAGCGACUGGUGGUCUUCUAAUUCUAUUUUUAGGGGUGUAAAAUCGGUGGGUAGGACAUGUCUAUUUAGAAAAGACGCGAGUAGUUAAUUUUUCACUCUCUUAAAGGAUAGUUGGUAGAGGUGUAUCCUAGUAGUAGGUAGAAGGUAAGAGUGUUUGACUUGCUAUCCUUUCUGGUAGUCGUGUAGAUUGAUUAUAGUAUUAUUUUGGUUUAGUAUGGUCCUGCUACUAUUUAUUGUUUUACUACUGCCUUUUUUUUUUCAUUACUUCUUUUUCUGGACUAAUUUUUAUCUUGUGCCGGGAUCUGUCAGAAAUAGCCGCUCUAUCGCUAAGGUAGAGCUAAAGGUCAGGCCUACGUAAACUCUGUUCUCCCUAGAUCCUAUUUUUUAGGACUACACUGGAUAUAUUCUUGUUGUUUCUCUAUA